rnacentral:ncRNA from 1 species
UACCUGGUUGAUCCUGCCAGUAGUCAUAUGCUUGUCUCAAAGAUUAAGCCAUGCAUGUGCAAGUAUGAACCAAUUUGAACUGUGAAACUGCGAAUGGCUCAUUAAAUCAGUUAUAGUUUGUUUGAUGGUACGUGCUACUCGGAUAACCGUAGGAAUGCUUUGAGUGUAUCAAACGUCACAACAUAACUGGGUGACUAUAAAGGUGCACUACAGGUAUCUCUGAAAGUGUAUGUUGGGUUGGCACGAAUCGAGACUAGGAUUUGUCACUUCGUAUGACGGAGAGGUAUCUCUGGGCCCACUCGGUAAUGCAUCAUCAUAAUGAGCUCAAUGUGACUAAGGAGUUAGUCAUAGGAUCAUGCGUUACUGAACGAGUAUAAGAGACUUGCCGGUAACGAGAUUGAACUAGGUAUUGAGAUACCGACGAUCGAAUCUCGGGCAAGUAACAUACCGAUGACAAAGGGAAC